rnacentral:rRNA from 1 species
AUAUUGUAAGGACGUUGAUUGUGCGUCCCUUUUAUUGCGACAGUUGGGAUUGACGCAUGCUAGUGCAGUGGCACAAGCCACCGCGCGUAAAGGGUAGGAAUGCAUGAGAAUAAACUAAAGUAAUUCUGUUUAAAAUACAAAAAAAUAAAUGUUCUUUAGAGUUUUCAUGGACGAUUAGGUUGUAUUGUCUAAUAGAUCAUAGCCGAUUAUCGUUAACUGCAUUGAGAGGUAGAGCAGUACCAGCUGUGUAGUAAGCACAGCCGAUCAUUUGAUUGCAGCAGCGCAAAACAUUUGCCAAUGAGCGAAAGCUUGAGCGAACCAAACUGGUAGGGGAAUGAAGGAGAACUCUGUAAACCCUUAAUGCUAGGGAAUAACUAGAGCGUACCUAGAGAGAAGAACGGGCUAAUGCUGGUGCCAGAAGUCUCGGUUACACCGGUCGUUCGAGCAAUAGAGAUCAUGAUUGGGCGUAAAGCGUUCUUCGGCAGGUCAUUGCUUGGUCCUUUUGGAUUAAGCGCCUGAUCCUUUUUUGGAUUGGGAGGUGACACUCGUUUGACAGCGACUAAUAGAAUUAAAAAGUCACCGAUAAAAUGGGAAUAAUUUUUUAGGAAUAUCAAUUGCGAAGGCAAUUAGUUGGGUCAAAACAGUAGCUUAGGAACGAAGGAAUGGGGAUCAAAUACCAUUAGAUACGGUAGUGUGCGACUCGUUUUACAGAAAAGUAUUAAAAAUAAUACGUACUGUAAGUAAUACACUUUGUGUUUAUAACUGUGAUUAUUUGCUGGUGAAAAACCAGACGUCGUAGGAGCCGAUGAAAAGCGUAACCCGCAUGCCUUUUAGGGUAUGAAGCCGGGUUAAACGGGAUGAACUUUCGCUAACUUGAGACAAAAACAAGGGGGGGAAGGACGAAUCUUUAGCAAAGAGCAUAUGAUUAGUCAACGAAUCUGUGAUAACGCAUCGUUAAUCUAGCUUAUACAGUUGAGGCAUGGUAUAUUACCGACCAUGUUGUUCCUUCUAAUAACUGUCGGUGUUUAGCAGAAAUCUAAGUGCUCAUAAUUUAGUAAUCACGGAACGAGGAAAUCUCAAGCUAGCAACCUUGAUAAGGAGAGGGUGUACGACCCGCUAACUUGAGAGUAGGAUGAGAUAAAAAGCGAAUGCCAAACUGUAAUAGGGUGGAUAUGCUGACGUGUCUCACGUGAAAAAAAAAAUUAUACAAAUUAAAAUUAUAAUAACAAAUAAUGCAAUAUAAAAAUAAAAAACAUUCUAUUUAUAAAGACAGAGAAAUCUUCGGACCUUAUUUAGCGGGUUUAUGGGAAGGUGAUGGCAGCAUACUUGUUAAAUCAAAAGAGCAUCUAAAACCCACUAUAAAUAUUACCUUUCAUAAAAAUCAGGGAUUUUUUGCAGAAAAAUUACUACAAAUUCUUACUGACCAAUGUAAAGAAAAGGUGGGGUCAGUUUAUUAUCAUAAAACUCGGCAAGCCUGUUAUUUAAAUAUCUAUUCUAAAGAAGGACUUUUAAACUUUAUUAAUUUAGUCAAUGGGAAACUGAGAACCCCGAAAGCUUCUCAAAUGGAUGUAGUUAUAAAUUGGCUAAUAAAACAGGGAGUCAAUAUUAAAAAGCUUCCAUUAUGCUCUGUGCCUAUUAACAAAGACGCCUGGCUUACUGGAUUUAUUGACGCCGAUGGGAGUUUUGGGAUUAGGCAAACCUUUAAAAAGGAAAAAAUAAAACAACAAACAGAAUGUGAAUUUAUACUUGUUCAGCGGAUGUACUACCCCAAAACUGGAAAAUCAUAUUUUGAAAUUUUUAGUAAAAUCGCCGAUUACUUUUGUGUAAAACUAAACACAUUAAAAGCUCGUAAUCCAAAGGCAUUAGAUCAGUAUAGAAUCAAAAUAAGUAGCGCGAAGUCUAAAAAGAUAUUGCGGGCUUAUUUAGAUAUAUUUCCUUUAUUAAGCUCAAAGUACCUUGAUUUCAAGGGCUGGUCUGAAGUUGACGAUUUAAUGAUUAAAAAGCACCACUAUACAGAUGAUGGCGCUAUAAAGAUUACUAAAAUAAAAAAGGCUAUGAAUAAUUGUAGAACAGAAUUUAAUUGGGAUCAUUUAGAUUUAUAAAUCGCAAUGUGGGUAUAUAUUUAUAUAGUAAUUAUUUUGUAUAGUUACACGAGGAGCCGUAUGAUGGGAAACUAUCACGUACGGUUUUGAAGUAAGAGUUUCGGGGAGACCCGACGCUUAUUAUAACAGUCCAUUCAGUCAACGAUGGCUUUUAUGUCUUGGCCUGUGGCCUUGAAUAAGCAAACGCGGAAAAAGCCCGCCUCAAUAGUACGAGCGCAAGCUUAAAAUUGAAACAAUUAAUGCGUGGAGAUUCAAUAUGGUGGAACAUGCGAUUUAAUUCGUCGCUACGCGCUAACCUUACGCGGUCUUGAUUAAUUACUACAGCUAUGUUAUGCUUGACUUAGUAGGUAAUUAUAGCUUUGCAUGGUCGUGGUCAGCUCGUUUUUUGUAAAGUUGGGUUAAUUCCAUAAACGAGCGAAACGCGCAGGUUUAUAUUAACUAAUUUUAGUGAAGUCUAAAGUGUACCUAUAAACUACGGCGAAAGAAAUUUUCGAGGAAGGGCGCAUCAUCACAGAUCCUCAUGAAGUUCAUGAUCGCGGCUAUACGCGUGUUACAAUUGAUAAAUCAAACAGUAGCAAUUAUGCAAAUAAGUGCAAAUCUGUAAACCUUAUCUAAACGGAUUGCAUUCUGCAACUCGAAUGCAUGAAGUAGGAAUCAUAAGUAAUCGUUUUAAAGAAUUGAAACGGUGAAAUUUGUUCAUCUCCGGCUAUUAAUAGCCCGUCAAUGCCUGGUUAACGAGUGUGCAGGAAAAGUGUAGAGUGUAUAGCUACAUUUGAUUGUAUAUUUGGUAGCCGGGCAUAAGUCGUAACACAGUAAUCGUACCGGAAGGUGCGGUUGGCGCCAUUUUUU